AUGAGGUUCCCUGCUCAGCUCCUGGAGCUCCUCCUGCUCUGGGUCCCAGGAUCCAGUGGGGACAUUGUGCUGACCCAGACUCCACUCUCCCUGUCUGUCUUCCCUGGAGAGACGGCGUCCAUCUCCUGCAGAGCCAGUCAGAGCCUCGAAGAUAGUUAUGGAGACACUUAUUUGAGUUGGCACUUGCAGAAGCCUAGCCAGUCUCCACAGCUUCUGAUCUAUUUGGUUUCCAAUAGAGCCUCUGGGGUCCUGGACAGGUUCACUGGCAGUGGGUCAGGGACAGAUUUCACCUUUAAAAUCAGCAGAGUGGAGGCUGAGGAUGCUGGAGUUUAUUACUGCCAGCAGAGUAUACAAGCACCUCCCACAGUGGUACAGCCCUGA